GAGAUACCAUCCAGAUGGACCUUGACAGGUUUGAGAGGUGGGCCUGUGUGAACCUCGUGAAAUUCAGUGAGGCCAUGUGCAAGGUCCUGCACCUGGGUUGGGGCAACCCCAACCACCAAUAAAGGCUGGGCUAAGAAUGGGGGUUGUUUUGCGAAGACAGAAAAACGUUCCUCUAGAGAACUGUCCACUUAUCAGGACAACACAGAGGAAGUGAUUCAGACCAUGUGGAUAAAAAAGAAAGGCAGUAUUUUUCUCUCUUUGUCUUUUACUAAAACCAUGUCCUAAGAUGACAUAAAAUUAAUGCACGUCAUCAUAUGAAAACAGAGCCUUCAUACUAAGUAGAGUCUAUUGUCUUAGCAGCUGAAACUGCAGAACAAAAAACCCAACCCCCACAUGAAAAGAACAAGAUUAGAAUUACAAAGCUUAUUAUUCAAAAGCAGGAAAGCAACAAAAUGAAGACUGCCAGAAUUUUCUUUUUAAAAAUUUUAUCUGUGAGUAUAUGACUGUAUAGUAUCAAAAGGUCACCACUCUGUACAAGAGUGAAUAGUUACUAUACUCAAAUUAGUGAGUACUUAUGCUUAUUUUCUUCUUAUUUUUGUACAGAUAUAUUCAUGCUGUAAUACAGCACUUUGGGUAAAAUUCAGAGUAGUAAGAAGAAACUCUCAGUUUUAUAACUCUGGAACAAAGGUUCCUCUGGUGUGCCAGUAGUGCAGAAGAAAUGCGAAAGUCACCCGGCAAUUCACAACAACUUGUGGCUAAAAUUGGUUCCUUCUGUCAUUUGCGGACACUGGUCAAUAAACCUUCAAGGAUCCCUGACCCUUCAUGAUGAAAACAAAUGGAUGACCUCUAUUCUAAUUUUGUCUGGCCAUGAGGACAUACAUGAAACAAGAUAUGCAAACUUCAAGCUAUCGAGGCCCAUUGUUCCUGGGCCUGUGACCACUUGGCACUCACUGUUACGUAAAACCUCUCUGGAAUAGGUCUGUUUUGGAGACAGAUGGAGCUGUCCAAAACAGAACCAAGAAGCAAGAAUAAUCAGUACCUGAGCUCACUCUGACUCACUCCUAUUUUGUGCUACAGAUACAUUCACUGAGAACAGUAUUUCGUCCAGAAAUGAGAACUAAAUGAAU
rnacentral:lncRNA from 1 species